rnacentral:rRNA from 1 species
GAUGAACGCUGGCGGCGUGCCUAAUACAUGCGAGUCGAGCGAACAGACGAGGAGCUUGCUCCUCUGACGUUAGCGGCGGACGGGUGAGUAACACGUGGAUAACCUACCUAUAAGACUGGGAUAACUUCGGGAAACCGGAGCUAAUACCGGAUAAUAUAUUGAACCGCAUGGUUCAAUAGUGAAAGACGGUUUUGCUGUCACUUAUAGAUGGAUCCGCGCCGCAUUAGCUAGUUGGUAAGGUAACGGCUUACCAAGGCAACGAUGCGUAGCCGACCUGAGAGGGGGGAAGGGCAAACGGGAAAGGAGAAACGGACCAGAAGACGAAGGGAGGGAGAAGAAGGGAAAUGUACGGAAAGGGGGAAAGACGGAAAGAGGAAAGGGGAGGGAGGGAAGAAGGGAUUUGGAGAGGAAAAAUCGGUUAUUAGGGAAAAAAAAAAGGGGAAGGAAAAGAGGACGGAUUGAAGGGAACGAAACAGAAAGAAACGGGUAACUAAGGG